UCGCCCGGACCCAGGGGUGCGUGGCCUCUCUCAGACCCAGGGGCACGUGGCCUCACCUGGACCUAGGUGCAUGAGGCCUCACCCGGAUCCAGGGACAC